rnacentral:tRNA from 1 species
GGCCGGAUGGUCUAGCUUGGUAUGGCCCUGGUUUUGGGAAUCAGUGAUCCCGUGUUCAAAAAAAUUUCAGAUGCGCUCUGAAUUGAUGGAAAUCACGGUCCGGCCACCA